UUUUGGAAAUAAAAAGAAUAAAUCUACCAGAGUACUACGAAUCAGAAUAUUUAAAACUCAAAGAGCUUGGCGGUACUUUAAACCUUUCAGGGGAACCUGUUUUAUAAUCGACAAUCCACGUUAUACCUUACCUUUUCUUAUUUAGUUUGUAUACCAUCGUCGUCAGGUAACUUUUAAAAAUUUAAGUAGUUAGCAAAAAAGUCUAUAAACUUAAACGUCAGAUCAAGGUGCAAUUAAUGAAAAGGGUAAAAUGGGUUACAAUUAUAUAAUAAUAAUACGAAAAUUUAGUUGUAAAAUUAUUUUAAAGGAGGACUUGAAAGUAAAAAUAUCUAUAUACAUAAAUUGAAUAAGGCUCUGAAGUGUGC
rnacentral:rRNA from 1 species